rnacentral:piRNA from 2 species
UGGGUUUGUCUUUCAGAUUUCUGAUUUCCAC